CCCCGUCUCUCCCUUUCCAAUGGAUGCAAUAGCGCUAUGUGUCCACCAGAUGGAGGUAUUGGAACAAAAUUAACAUCCAUCUGGUGGCCACAUAGCGCUAUUGCAUCCAUUGGCUUGAUCACUGACACUGUCAGCCAAUCCAAUGACAUCCCCCCUCUCUCUCUCUCUCCCUUUCCCCCUCUCUUUUCUCUCUCUCCCUUUCCCUCUCUCCCUUUUUUCUCUCUCUCUUUUCCUCUCUCGCACUCUUUCCCUUUCUCUCCCCCUCCCCUUGCUCUCUCUUCCUUUCCCUCCUCUCGCACUCUUUUCCUUUCUCUCCCCCUCCCCUUUCUCUUGCUCUCUCUUCCUUUCCCUCCUCUCUCCUUUUCCCUUGCUCUCUCUUCCUUUU
rnacentral:lncRNA from 1 species